rnacentral:rRNA from 1 species
UGGGGAAUAUUGCACAAUGGGCGAAAGCCUGAUGCAGCGACGCCGCGUGCGGGAUGAAGGCCUUCGGGUUGUAAACCGCUUUUGAUUGGGAGCAAGCGAGAGUGAGUGUACCUUUCGAAUAAGCACCGGCUAACUACGUGCCAGCAGCCGCGGUAAUACGUAGGGUGCAAGCGUUAUCCGGAAUUAUUGGGCGUAAAGAGCUCGUAGGCGGUUUGUCGCGUCUGGUGUGAAAGUCCAUCGCUUAACGGUGGAUCUGCGCCGGGUACGGGCAGGCUAGAGUGCGACAGGGGAGACUGGAAUUCCCGGUGUAACGGUGGAAUGUGUAGAUAUCGGGAAGAACACCAAUGGCGAAGGCAGGUCUCUGGGUCGUCACUGACGCUGAGGAGCGAAAGCGUGGGGAGCGAACA